GGGCGUAAAGGGCUCGUAGGUGGUUGAUCGCGUCGGAAGUGUAAUCUUGGGGCUUAACCCUGAGCGUGCUUUCGAUACGGGUUGACUUGAGGAAGGUAGGGGAGAAUGGAAUUCCUGGUGGAGCGGUGGAAUGCGCAGAUAUCAGGAGGAACACCAGUGGCGAAGGCGGUUCUCUGGGCCUUUCCUGACGCUGAGGAGCGAAAGCGUGGGGAGCGAACAGGCUUAGAUACCCUGGUAGUCCACGCUGUAAACGGUGGGUACUAGGUGUGGGGUCCAUUCCACGGGUUCCGUGCCGUAGCUAACGCUUUAAGUACCCCGCCUGGGGAGUACGGCCGCAAGGCUAAAACUCAAAGGAAUUGACGGGGCCCCGCACAAGCGGCGGAGCAUGCGGAUUAAUUCGAUGCAACGCGUAGAACCUUACCUGGGUUUGACAUGGAUCGGGAGUGCUCAGAGAUGGGUGUGCCUCUUUUGGGGUCGGUUCACAGGUGGUGCAUGGCUGUCGUCAGCUCGUGUCGUGAGAUGUUGGGUUAAGUCCCGCAACGAGCGCAACCCUUGUUCACUGUUGCCAGCACGUUAUGGUGGGGACUCAGUGGAGACCGCCGGGGUCAACUCGGAGGAAGGU
rnacentral:rRNA from 1 species